ACGACACCAUCAACGUUCGCAUUAUUUCCUCCUCCGCGCAGAUUGCACUGAACCUCCUCGUCCCCUCUUACAGCUACAGCAGCAGCGGUAGCAGCGUUGUAAGCAGCAGUAGCAGCGUUGUAAGCAGCAGCAACAGUAGCGCUGCUGGCCGUGAGGUUGGUUGGUGGAAUCGUCGGGACGCGGAGAGUGGCGCUGUGAUGAUCGACCGGGCGGCCCAUGCUGAUGUGCUCGAG
rnacentral:lncRNA from 1 species